GGAAAUCCAGGCCGUAGUAGAACAUGAGCCCCCGGACAAAGGGAUGGAGUGGGAAGCCCAGACCGCGGAGGAAAUGGGGAAGGAAUACUACCCUCUCAUGGGGCUUGGGGGUGGGGAUGAGCUCUCCCUCGUUGGGGAGCCGGUGCGCGAUGUCGCUGGACAUGUAUCCGGCGCUGCGCAGCUUCUGGAUCUGCCCCUCCAUGAUGGAGGAGGCCAUCCACUUGCCUCCCGCUCUGGACAUAGUUGGAGAAGGUUGAGGUGAGAUGUGCGGGCUUGGGCGCUGGAGCUCGGGUUCGCAGAGAUGGAUAAGCCAAGGAGGAAGAAGGCGCAGGUAAUAGGGUUGGAUCUUUAUCCCCUUAUAUGGGCGGACAAAAACAUGCGUCCCCACCGGCCUGAUAAAACUCGCUUAUCCCCCAAGCGCCGCAAUCAAUGGUGCGGUUGGGUUACCCACGUCCGUAUUGAUGGGGAUCCCGGAAUAAGGGGAACACGAUCUCUGCUUCGACAAGACGUGCCAAGGAAACCGCUUCGCUAAACGCGCUGAGGUGAUACAAUAAAAACGAUUUAAGUAAAAGGCUUGGUAGCGGUGUUACGUCACACCAUCAAAUACGUCAUCAGAUUGAACUUGUGUAAAUAUUAUUCUCUCUACGGUGGUAUGUGGAAAUUAUUUUUGCAGAGCCGGACACUAUCCUGGUGUUCACAAUCUUCUAUAAAUUAUUCGGAGGAGGAACCCGCCUUGCAAUGCCGAAGACAAUAUGCGCGUCGGACUCGUCGUCAUUGAAGCCUGGUUCAGGGGCUACUGAGGGAGUCCUGGACUAGGGGGUGUCCGGAUAGCCGAACUAUCAUCAUCGGCCGGACUCCAAGACUAUGAAGAUACAAGAUUGAAGACUUCAUCCCGUGUCCGGAUGGGACUUUCCUUGGCGUGGAAGGCAAGCUUGGCGAUAUGGAUAUGUAGAUCUCCUACCAUUGUAACCGACUCUGUGUAACCCUAGCCCUCUCCGAUGUCUAUAUAAACCGAAUGGCUUUAGUACGUAGGACGAACAACAAUCAUACCAUAGGCUAGCUUCUAGGGUGUAGCCUCAAGCAGGAUGUAGGGUUUUACCUCCAUCAAGAGGGCCCGAACCUAGGUAAAACAUCGUAUCCCUUAUCUCCUAUUACCAUCCACCUAGACGCACAGUUCGGGACCCCCUACCCGAGAUCCGCCGGUUUUGACACCGACAUUGGACAAAACACCUACCCCUCAAGCUCAAAGGGCCAGCUCGGCGCGGCACCCGCCAUGCCAGGACACCGUCCGCAUAAUGGGGAUAGACCCUACCAAAAUUUGCCAGAACAACACUUCCUUCAAAGGAGUGACGCCAGGCCUUUAAGCCAAUCAUACGGGCUCUGUACCACUAGAGGUUGUGUUCGGUUCACCCGACAACCUCCGUCGCGAAAAGCUCACUCUCCAUAGCGCCCCAUUUUACAGUGGCCAUCAAGCACUACCGGGACGCAAAGCCCUCGCCCGCUUUAACGCAAUACCACACUACACGUCUCUUAUACUUACAAUGCCCGGUCCACGCGGCAUAAUCUCAUUAAAGAGUAACUCCGAGUGUUCCUCGACCACGGAGAGCGUGGGGCUGCCUUGACAGCCACUCCGACCUUGCAGGUCAAGGCCCCUAAACACAGGUCAUUCAGACCCCGGACACGGUUAGGCGAGUUCGGCGUAAAUAAACAAGGGGCUUCCCAGCCGUAUACCCCCUUUAUAAGGGGCCGCACGUCUAAAUGAUGAGAGGCAAUAAAGCUCAGCUUUCUUUAUUUGACAAAUUAUACUUUAAUACAACUUUUGCACGAUAUUUAUUAGAAACUAAGUCCUUCUCUUUUAUAGAUGAAGCACGUGCUACACCCGUCCAGGAUACAGCACAACGGAGACACAGGCGCAGACGUGCACCAGGGACCCGUUGCAAGGAUUCUUUUCAGAUUAAGACCCUGCGUAAACCUUUCUUACUGUCUCUUGUUGAUACACAUCCCCCGGUUUCUUACCAUAGCCGAGGAGGAGGCUGGUGUUUUGGCAUCGGCCGCGUCAGAAGUUCCCGCAUGUACCUGGACACUAGGGGCUUAGGGCAUUGUUCUGCCCGGUAUCAUAAAGACCAAACACCUCAGGGAGUGUUCGGCGUCUCGAGUUAGGCCUUAUAUGCAUCAGCUCCGAAUCAUGUCUUUGGUCAAAUGUUGAGUUUGCCCGGCUCCUGUGUUUUGCUGCCUUAUGUUCCGUAUCAUCGGCUAACGCGGCACCAGGAGAACUACUGCGAUUGUGCCCCGGUUCGGCCGGGCGAGCACCUCAGUAGAGAAAGCCGAAAACUGACUGUCAUGAUAUAGCGAGAGACUGAUCAACCACUCGAUCGACCAUUGGAAUGUUUAGAAUUCCUCCGCUUUGACGAAGGACCGCUUCCCGGUCAGGCACAUACGUGCCCCGAGUUCGGAGAAGCGCGGUGCCGCUAGGGGCUAUAUAGUAGCCCCAUAUUCGAGCUCCUAUGGCUAAGUGAAAGUGAUAAAGCGUUAUAGUCCGGUUGCCUAGUUUGCUACGCUAUCACCUCCUUAAAAGGACCAAGACGUUGGAUUAAGUGUGAAAAAGCGCUUUUCUAUUUGCAAACACCCCCGCACCAUGUGCGUGGGGGCUGAAGCCAAAGACUGCCAUCUUUCAGAUUAUACAUACAUAUACGGCCGCACAGGAGAUAGUUCAGUACUUGAACACACAAGUAUAAAAAGCUGUUGUAUUAUAAACAUGAUCUCGGAAAUCAUACAUGUCAUUCAAACAUAACAUUUUUCGAGCACUGCGACUCUAUCGAACGAGCGCCCUGCAGGACUUCCUCAAAAUAGUGCUCCGUGGGGAAUCGGCUUUUGUCUGAACCCCGGGAUGCAACAACGGUGGCAUCCAUCUCCGCCCAGUAUGUCUUACCACGGGCGAGGGCCAUCCGUGCACCUUCUAUACAUGUCGACCGCUUCAUCGCCCCAAUACGCGACACCGCCCCAAGGAAUUGUUGCAACAAGCCAAAAUAACUCUUCGGCUUGGGCCUUCCCGGCCACAGAUGAGCGACCACAUCCGUCAUGGCAAGUCCGGACAAUCUAUUAAGCUCAGCCCACUCAACCAGCCGAUCACUCAAUGGAAGUGGACGCUUCGGACUAUGGAAUUGAGACCAGAAUUCCAUUUCGUGAUCCUUCUGGCUUCGGAAGUGCACGACUGCGUCCGCCGCACUCGCUGCCAAGUCCAGAUAAGGAUCCUCCGCAUCGUACAAAUGGCCCAGCUGAGCAUACUUCGGAUCCGUGAACUUCCUACGGAGCAUAAAGGGCUUUCCAGCCACAAUGUCUUCGACCUGACGCAGUUCCUCCUUCAUAGCCCGCAUCUUACUAUGGGCAUCCUUGGCUUCGGCGUCGGCCUUCUUCAGGUCCUCUUGCUCCGCUCAGCGUUCUCUUUCAAGAACCUCCUGGCGGUCGGUAGCAACUUUUAAUUUCGCGGCCAUUCCGGCCAUCUCCUCCCUGCUUCGGCAGUGAGCAGCCUUCUCGGCUUCUAGCUCUUCCGCUGCCUUCGAGGCAGCCGCCUCGCUUUUUCUGGCUUGCUCCUUGGCCCGAACAAGUUCUGCUCGCAGGUCUUCCACAACAGCAGCACCAUCUACAUCAAGCAUACAAAUUGUAAGGAACGGGCGUCAGCUCCCUUACUAGGCGACCACGGAGCAACCACAUACCUUGUGACUCAUCCAGUCGUUUAUUGACCAGUGAGAUGUCCGCAUCCGCAACAUUGAGUUGCCUCUUCAGUUCGGCAACUCCAUCAGUCCGGCUGGCCACCGAACGUUCCGCCACCUACAUAGGAAAGGUGACAUUCUAUAACUGAGAUUAUGAUCAUUGGCACGCUAUCGCUUUCGACAGCAUACCAAGUCUCAGGGGGUACUAUCUAUACAGGGCGCACUUCAUGUGCAAAACUGUCAAAAGGUAUGUCAUUUUUUGCGUACCUCAAAACCCGUCAGCAAGCUUCCGACGGCCUCACACAACCCGCUCUCGGUGGACAAGAUCUUUUCAAUCACCUUACUCAUUAAUGUGCGGUGAUCUUCCGAGAUAGACGCCCUCUUAAGCAAAUCCUGCAGCUCCACCGGCCGUACUCCACUGGGUGUCGAACACUCUAGCCCCGCCGGACUCGGGGAGACCCUCCGCGACGACACCUCAGGGUCGUCCGCCCCGCACGAUGGGGCGGCAGAUGGAGGCAUUUCACUCUCCAUCAUCUCCGGACGAAGGUCCCCCGAAGAUGAGCUGUGCUGAGACAGGCUGAGAUCCGAACUACAAGAUGAAAACUUCGGUUAUCCUCAUAAAUUAAGCAGGGGUGCCCACUAUUACAAAACUUCCCCUUUUUACUUACGGCUCGCUGGAGGGCUGAUUCCUCCGAGGAGACAGUACGGCCGGGGCUCUUCCCAGCAUAGGACCUUCCGGUACAGAUUUCUUUCCCCGCUUUGAGGACUUGGCCUCCGGGUCUUCGGAAGUUGUCCUCUUCUCCCCCUGGAAGGAGGGACACUCGAUUCCUCCCUUAUUAAAGGCCUCCUUGGCAGAGGUGGUAGUUCCCCUGUGCCUCCCUUUGCCGUUCUUUGAAGGUGCAACCUCCAACAUUUUGAUUAACACGGGAUCCUGCGUGGUCUCAGGGAGGGGGGCCGGACACCGUAUCAGUUUUGCUUGCACUAUCCACUCCUGUCCAAGGGAUAGUUGGUCAAAAGGCAAACUCACGAUAAAUUUAUGCACCAUUCCGCAGCCUACCCCUGGAGGGGGACAUGUUUCACAGUCCCAUUCCUUGCCUAUCGCACCAUUUGUAUCGUCCUGCACUUACAGCAGUUUUUCUUGAAUAAGUAAUGCAGCACCUUUUUGCCUGCAAUUGCACUUCUUUUUUAUACAUACGUUCAUUCGUGACAUUACGCAUCCGUACGUUUUGGUACGGCUAAAUACACCAGGGGCUUAUGUUUCCCGCAUCAUGGUGUGAUAAGUCCGAACACUUUCACAAGUGCGGCACCCCGAACUUAUAGCAUUAUAUGCAUCAGCUCUGAAUCAUGUCUUGGGUCAAUAAUUGGGUUUGCCCGGCUCCCAUGUUUUGGUACCUUACAUUCCAUUGUAUCGGCUAAGGUGGCACUGGGAGAACCACUGCGAUUGCGCCCCAGUUGACCUGGGUUAACGCCUCAGUGGAGAAAGCUAAAACUGACCAUCAUGAUGAGGCGAGAGCUGGUCGCUGUUCGAGAGGUUUUUUGCGAGUCCCUAAAGACUUAUGCCGCUUAGAGCGAGGAGCCGGUUUUUGUCCGGCCCAGGCGUGGAUAGCGCCCCAAAUUCGGCCUUCCGAAGACUAGGGGCUUCACCGAAAUUUAAAAUUAUAGAAUUCUAUGGCUAAGUGAGAGUGUUCAAGCAUUAUAAGUCCAGUUGCCUUGUUCGUUGUGUUGAGCGCCUCCCUAGAUGGACCCAAAUAUGGGAACAAGAGUGCUCAAAUUUAUCCCGAACACCCCAGCACUCGUGGCAUGGGGGAUGAAGCCGACGACUUGCCAUCUCUCAGAUUUGAUAAACAGCCGCACAGAAGGUAAUAUUUUAAAUUAAAAUGCGUUGCUUAGCGCAAAUGAACUAAGUUUUCAGCGCACAGGAUAAAAAAAUGCGAGUCUACUCAAAUAUUACAUCUUUGGAGCACUCACCCGCAAUGGUGCGGUCGCCCUUCAGCACACUCUUAUAAUACAUCUCGGGUGUGCGAUGCUCCUUUACCUCCGGUGGUGGGUCCGUCACGAGCUUCUGGGCAUCCAUCUUGCCCCAGUGCACCUUUGCGCGGGCAAGGCCCGACGGGCACCUUCAAUACAGGUGGAGUGCUUGAUGACUUCAACCCACGGGCACGCAUCCACCAGCCGCUGCACCAGGCCGAAGUAGCUCCCAGGCAUGGCCUCCUUAGGCCACAGCCGAACGAUGAGGCCCUUCAUGGCCUGUUUGGCCGCGUUGUGGAGCUCGACCAGCUGCUUUAGCUGGUCGCUAAGGGGCACCGGAUGUCCGACCUCAGCAUACUGAGACCAGAAGACCUUCUCCGUCGAGCUCCCCUCCUCGGCCCAGUAGAACGCGGCAGCAUCGGACACGCUGCGAGGAAGAUCUGCAAACGCUCCUGGAGAGCUCCGAAUCCGGGUAAGCAACAGGUAAUUAACACUCACAUGCUUACUUUGCAUGAAAAAUGCCUUACCCGCUGCUAUUUUCUUCAACGCCUCGAUUUCCUGGAGGGCCUUGUAGGCUUCGGCCUUAGCGGCUUUGGCACUCUCAAGAGCCGUUGCAAGCUCAGACUCUCGAGUCUUCGAGUCACGCUCCAGGCUCUCAUGCUUUUUCAUGAGAUCCUGGAGCUCUUGCUGUACCUCCGCCACCCGCGCCUCCUGCUUCUCUCGCUCGGUGCGCUCCACGGCCGCAUUGCGUUCGGCUGCAGCCACCGCCUCCUUCAGGGUCGCCACCUCGUUAGUGGCCCCUGCAAUACCCACGUUAUGCCUGUCUUUCAUUUUGCAACCAAAAUCCUUUUCUGUAAGGUACAAUUUUAAUAAGGUGUUACUCACCUUCCUUGUCCUCGAGCUGCUUCUUGGCACGGCCGAGCUCGUUCUCGGACCGCUCGAGGCCUUCCUUCAAAGUAUUGACCUCCGCAGUUAGUGCGGCAGAGGUCAGCAGUGCAGCCUGCAAUCCCAUAUCGACAUAUUUUUUAUGACUCCUGCGUAUAUCUUCUUAGAUCCUGAGUCCGGCUUUUCUUUCCGAACACCGAACCGAGCAUCAGGGGCUACUGUCUAUGCGGUACUAUUUUACAUAUAUCAAAAUUCUUACCUCAAAGCCUGUUAGAAGGCUGCUGCAGGCUUCGGUCAGCCCGCUCUUGGCGAGCUGCACCUUCUGAAUCACCGCACUCAUAACAGUGCUGUGUUCCUCUUCGAUGGAGGCGAUAUUGAGCGCCUCCAGCAAGCUAUCCGACGCCUCCAGUUGGACGGAGGCUGCCGGUGUCAUGGUCUUUCCCUUCUUACGAAGGGGCCGCCCGCCGGACUCCGGAGCCACUAUGGGAUCCGGAGCCGAGUCCGGUGCAAAGUCCGGGAGGUUGUCCUGCGACACCUCCGGGGCCUCCUCCUCCUGGCGGGUCCCUUCCCGGGAUCCCACCUCGGCGUCGUCCAUGUCACGGGGGGUGGAGGCGGUCGGAAGAGAAUCCAUAUCCGACGCACCUAAGGACCCGCUCGACGAAGCGGGAAAAUCGUCCUUGGGCGGACUGCAGGGGCGUAUGCGGCAUUAGAAAGACAUUGUGUGGCAAAACAGAUAAACCAUGAAGUUAUUCGGGAGUCCGGAUACUCACGAUCUCGCCAGGGGCUUGGCCCUUGGAGGCCAGUCCUCGUCGUCAUCGCUGGCGUUGGCAGAGCAGUCUGGGGGAAGAGUUUUUCCCUUCUUGGACCCUNNNNNNNNNNNNNNNNNNNNNNNNNNNNNNNNNNNNNNNNNNNNNNNNNNNNNNNNNNNNNNNNNNNNNNNNNNNNNNNNNNNNNNNNNNNNNNNNNNNNNNNNNNNNNNNNNNNNNNNNNNNNNNNNNNNNNNNNNNNNNNNNNNNNNNNNNNNNNNNNNNGGGAAGAGGCUUUCUUCUUCUCCUCCUCACCUUGGUGAGAGGAGUCGGGCUCGGAGUCGUCAUCUGAUAGCACCUGAAAACGGGAACUCUUCCGAGUCCCCGUGGCCUUCUUCUUGGCCUUCUUCCCCGGCACCACAUGGGGUGCCGGAGCCAGCAGCCCCGUCAAACGGGCGUCCGCUGGGUCCUCUGGCAAUGGGGCCAGACAGAUAGCAUGUUCGUCCUUCUUCAGCCAGUCCUGUCAAAGGAAAGGGAGUUUAGAUCCCGCAUAGAGUCAAACUAUGGAAAACAAGCGUCCCUUAAAGGACAAAAUCACUUACCUCAUCAGCUGGACGCUCCGAGCUGAAUCCGCGAUCUUCGGUAGCAGAUGCGGGAGCCUCGGCGCCCUUGAACAGCACCUUCCAGACAUCUUCGUACGUAGUGUCGAAGAGCCCAUUCAAAGUCUGGUGGUGCGCUGGAUCGAACUCCCACAUGUUGAAGCCCCGUCGUUGGCACGGGAGAAUCUGGCGGAUGAGCAUGACCUGGACUACGUUGACAAGCUUGAGCUUCUUGUCCACUAGCUUUUGGAUGCAAGCUUGGAGUCUGGUCAGCUCCUCCGUAUCACCCCAUGACCGGCCGCUCUCUUUCCAGGAGGUGAGCCGUGUGGGGAUGCCGGAUCGGAAUUCGGGGGCCGCUGCCCAUUCGGGGUCACACGGCUCGGUGAUGUAGAACCACCCCGAUUGCCACCCCUUGAUGGUUUCCAAGAAAUUGCCCUCAAGCCAAGUAACGUGGGACAUCCUGCCCACCAUGGCACCUCCGCACUCCGCUUGGCUGCCCUUCACAACCUUCGGCUUGACACUGAAGGUCUUGAGCCACAAGCCGAAGUGCGGCUGGAUGUAGAGGAAGGCCUCAUACAUGACGAUAAACGCCGAGAUGUUGAGGAUGAAAUUCGGGGCCAAAUCAUGGAAAUCCAGGCCGUAGUAGAACAUGAGCCCCCGGACAAAGGGAUGGAGUGGGAAGCCCAGUCCACGGAGGAAAUGGGGAAGGAAUACUACCCUCUCAUGGGGCUUGGGGGUCGGGAUGAGCUCUCCCUCGUUGGGGAGCCGGUGCGCGAUGUCGCUGGGCAAGUAUCCGACACUGCGCAGCUUCUGGAUCUGCCCCUCCGUGACGGAGGAGGCCAUCCACUUGCCUCCCGCUCCGAACAUAGUUGGAGAAGGUUGAGGUGAGAUGUGCGGGCUUGGGCGCUGGAGCUCGGGUUCGCAGAGAUGGAUAAGCCAAGGAGGAAGAAGGCGCAGGUAAUAGGGUUGGAUCUUUAUCCCCUUAUAUGGGCGGACGAAAACAUGCGUCCCCACCGGCCUAAUAAAACUCGCUUAUCCCCCAAGCGCCCUAAUCAAUGGCGCGGUUGGGUUACCCACGUCCGUAUUGAUGGGGAUCCCGGAAUAAGGGGAACACGAUCUCUGCUUCGACAAGACGUGCCAAGGAAACCGCUUCACUAAACGCGCUGAGGUGAUACAAUAAAAACGAUUUAAGUAAAAGGCUUGGUAGCGGUGUGACGUCACACCAUCAAAUACGUCAGCAGAUUGAACUUGUGUAAAUAUUAUUCUCUCUACGGUGGUAUGUGGAAUUUUUUUUUGCAGAGCCGGACACUA
rnacentral:lncRNA from 1 species